UGUGGAACCUGGUAGACACAGAGGGUUUUAUAGCAACGGUAGCGCAGCCGCUCCGGGGGGCCCCCCUCUCUCCUGCCUUCCUCCCCACUUCCAACUCCCCAUUCCCCCGCCACCUAUGAUCUGGGCUUCUUAGACCUACCCAUCUUCUCUCCUGCCAGUAGCCCAAGGGGGAUGGCAUCCGCAUCUACCAGGAAUGAGGAGAAAAAGAACAGCCGGCCACCCCAAGCUACAACCUCCUUGGGUGCAUGUUCGAAGGUUUCGUUGUCCCGUUCGGAAGAAUUCCUGACUCGGAUCAGCACAGAACUCACCAAUGAGGCCUUGUUUGUCGCUGGCUACCAUAUGAACCCUAUGCCCAAUAAGGAAAAACAGACACAAGACCAAGGGACUCAGAUAUCCAGACACGGUGACUCGCCCCUUCAGGACCACUGCCUCCAAAGAUCCACCCCAACUCGUAGUUCUAGACUCUAACCCCCUCGAAACAUAGUUGGCCUCUUCAGGAAUCUGUGCUCGGCUCCCCCAUCUCACAGUCAACCCCAGGAUCUACACAGUGCCCGCUAUCCCAACACCCACUUCUCAUCACUGCGCAGGAGUCCCUCGGUCCCUAUGCUUCCUCCCUAGCCACAGCUCUGUCUAUGGGGACAGUCACUUCUCUGAUCAGGGCUCCACUUCCAUGUUCUUCACUGAGAAUCAAGGCCCUGACACCCGGGAGCGCUGCCUAACAGUUUGACUUCUGGAAGAUGAUCCCAACCCUGUUGGGUGCUGCUCUGGGUCUCAUGUUCCCCCCUAUUCUGUGCCUCUGAACAUGCCUUUAAGUUCCUUUCCCACAACUCAUUAAACACUUUGGUUUGGAGAAGACUCCUGAGU